rnacentral:rRNA from 1 species
ACGAACGCUUGCGGCGUGCUUAACACAUGCAAGUCGAACGGAAAGGCCCCCUUGUGGGGUACUCGAGUGGCGAACGGGUGCGUAACACGUGAGUAACCUACCCUUGACUUUGGGAUAACUUCAGGAAACUGGGGCUAAUACCGGAUAGGAGCUCCUGCUGCAUGGUGGGGGUUGGAAAGUUUCGGCGGUUGGGGAUGGACUCGCGGCUUAUCAGCUUGUUGGUGGGGUAGUGGCUCACCAAGGCUUUGACGGGUAGCCGGCCUGAGAGGGUGACCGGCCACAUUGGGACUGAGAUACGGACCAGACUCCUACGGGAGGCAGCAGUGGGGAAUAUUGCACAAUGGGCGGAAGCCUGAUGCAGCAACGCCGCGUGCGGGAUGACGGCCUUCGGGUUGUAAACCGCUUUCGCCUGUGACGAAGCGUGAGUGACGGUAAUGGGUAAAGAAGCACCGGCUAACUACGUG